rnacentral:rRNA from 1 species
UACGUAGGGGGCGAGCGUUGUCCGGAGUACUGGGCGUAAAGCGCACGCAGGCGGUCUGUUAAGUUUGGAGUGACAGUUGGUGGCUCAACCACCAAAGUGCUUUGAAAACUGAUAGACUUGAGGGCUUCAGAGGGACACGGAAUUCCGGGUGGAGUGGUGAAAUGCGUAGAGAUCCGGAGGAACACCAAAGGCGAAGGGCAGUGUCCUG